rnacentral:rRNA from 1 species
GAUGAACGCUGGCGGCGUGCCUAAUACAUGCAAGUCGAGCGAACAGACGAGGAGCUUGCUCCUCUGACGUUAGCGGCGGACGGGUGAGUAACACGUGGAUAACCUACCUAUAAGACUGGGAUAACUUCGGGAAACCGGAGCUAAUACCGGAUAAUAUAUUGAACCGCAUGGUUCAAUAGUGAAAGACGGUUUUGCUGUCACUUAUAGAUGGAUCCGCGCCGCAUUAGCUAGUUGGUAAGGUAACGGCUUACCAAGGCAACGAUGCGUAGCCGACCUGAGAGGGUGAUCGGCCACACUGGACCUGAGACACGGUCCAGACUCCUACGGGAGGCAGCAGUAGGGACUCUUCCGCAAUGGGCGAAAGCCUGACGGAGCAACGCCGCGUGAGUGAUGAAGGUCUUCGGUUCGUAAAACUCUGUUAUUAGGGAAGAACAAAUGUGUAAGUAACUAUGCACGUCUUGACGGUACCUAAUCAGAAAGCCACGGCUAACUACGU